GGACAAAACACAGGUGGUGCAUCUGC
rnacentral:piRNA from 1 species